UACGUAGGGUGCGAGCGUUAAUCGGAAUUACUGGGCGUAAAGCGUGCGCAGGCGGUUUUGUAAGCCAGAGGUGAAAUCCCCGGGCUUAACCUGGGAAUGGCAUUUGGGACUGCAAGGCUCGAGUGCGGCAGAGGAGACUGGAAUUCCUGGUGUAGCAGUGAAAUGCGUAGAUAUCAGGAGGAACACCGAUGGCGAAGGCAGGUCUCUGGGCUGACACUGACGCUCAUGCACGAACGCGUGGGGAGCAAACAGG
rnacentral:rRNA from 1 species